CCUACGGGAGGCAGCAGUGAGGGAUAUUGGUCAAUGGGGGAAACCCUGAACCAGCAACGCCGCGUGAGGGAAGACGGUUCUCGGAUUGUAAACCUCUGUCCUCAGGGAAGAUAAUGACGGUAGCUGAGGAGGAAGCCCCGGCUAACUACGUGCCAGCAGCCGCGGUACUACGUAGGGAGCAAGCGUUAUCCGGAUUUACUGGGUGUAAAGGGGGCGUAGGCGGCCCGGCAAGUCAGAAGUGAAAUCCAUGGGCUUAACCCGUGAACUGCUGUUGAAACUGUAGGGCUUGAGUGAAGUAGAGGCAGGCGGAAUUCCCGGUGUAGCGGUGAAAUGCGUAGAGAUCAGGAGGAACACCGGUGGCGAAGGCGGCCUGCUGGACUUUAACUGACGCUGAAGCACGAAAGCGUGGGUAGCAAACAGGAUUAGAUACCCCGGUAGUC
rnacentral:rRNA from 1 species